rnacentral:rRNA from 1 species
UACAGGGGGGCAAGCGUUGUUCGGAAUUACUGGGCGUAAAGGGCCAGUAGGCGGCCAACUAAGUCCGACGUGAAAUCCCCAGGCUUAACCUGGGAACUGCGUCGGAUACUGGAUGGCUUGAAUUCGGGAGAGGGAUGCAGGAAUUCCAGGUGUAGCGGUGAAAUGCGUAGAUAUCUGGAGGAAUACCGGUGGCGAAGGCGGCAUCCUGGACCGACAUUGACGCUGAAUGGCGAAAGCUA